GCAGUCGAGCGAGCUUGCCUAGAUGAUUUUAGUGCUUGCACUAAAUGAAACUAGAUACAAGCGAGCGGCGGACGGGUGAGUAACACGUGGGUAACCUGCCCAAGAGACUGGGAUAACACCUGGAAACAGAUGCUAAUACCGGAUAACAACACUAGACGCAUGUCUAGAGUUUGAAAGAUGGUUCUGCUAUCACUCUUGGAUGGACCUGCGGUGCAUUAGCUAGUUGGUAAGGUAACGGCUUACCAAGGCAAUGAUGCAUAGCCGAGUUGAGAGACUGAUCGGCCACAUUGGGACUGAGACACGGCCCAAACUCCUACGGGAGGCAGCAGUAGGGAAUCUUCCACAAUGGACGAAAGUCUGAUGGAGCAACGCCGCGUGAGUGAAGAAGGGUUUCGGCUCGUAAAGCUCUGUUGGUAGUGAAGAAAGAUAGAGGUAGUAACUGGCCUUUAUUUGACGGUAAUUACUUAGAAAGUCACGGCUAACUACGUGCCAGCAGCCGCGGUAAUACGUAGGUGGCAAGCGUUGUCCGGAUUUAUUGGGCGUAAAGCGAGUGCAGGCGGUUCAAUAAGUCUGAUGUGAAAGCCUUCGGCUCAACCGGAGAAUUGCAUCAGAAACUGUUGAACUUGAGUGCAGAAGAGGAGAGUGGAACUCCAUGUGUAGC
rnacentral:rRNA from 2 species